CUCCGACUGUUAAGGAUCUUCAAAGUCACCAAGUACUGGAACUCCUUGAGGAACUUGGUGGUCUCCUUGCUGAAUUCAAUGAAAUCCAUCAUUAGCCUGCUGUUCCUCCUCUUCCUCUUUAUUGUCGUGUUUGCCUUGUUGGGAAUGCAGCUUUUUGGCGGGCAGUUUCACUUCAAUGAUGAAACACCAACCACCAACUUUGAUACAUUUCCCACUGCCAUUCUCACUGUGUUUCAG